rnacentral:rRNA from 1 species
GACGAACGCUGGCGGCGUGCCUAAUACAUGCAAGUAGAACGCUGAAGGAGGAGCUUGCUCUUCUGGAUGAGUUGCGAACGGGUGAGUAACGCGUAGGUAACCUGCCUGUUAGCGGGGGAUAACUAUUGGAAACGAUAGCUAAUAUCGCAUAACAGUAGAUGUUGCAUGACAUUUACUUAAAAGAUGCAAUUGCAUCAUUACUAGAUGGACCUGCGUUGUAUUAGCUAGUUGGUGGGGUAAAGGCUCACCACGGCGACGAUACAUAGCCGACCUGGGAGGGGGGUCGGCCAAACUGGGAAUGGGACACCGCCCAGAACCCUACGGGGGGGAGCAGUAGGGGAUCUUCGGGAAUGGGCGGAAGUCUGACCGAGCAACGCCGCGUGAGUGAAGAAGGUUUUCGGAUCGUAAAGAUCUGUUGUAAGAGAAGAAAGAGUGUGGGAGUGGAAAGUUCACACUGUGACGGUAUCUAACCAGAAAGGGACGGCUAACUACGUG